AGCAGGACAGUAGGUCCCCCCCUCCACAUUCUUAUUUCUGGCCCCCACCCCUGUGCGACGGGUGGGGGCCCGAAAUAAGAAUGUGGAGGGGGAGACCUACUGUCCUACCCCCAAAACCCCA
rnacentral:miRNA from 1 species